GGACGUGGCGGCGUGCUAUACAUAGCAAGUCGAGCGGACCGACGGGAGCUUGCUCCCUUAGGUCAGCGGCGGACGGGUGAGUAACACGUGGGUAACCUGCCUGUAAGACUGGGAUAACUCCGGGAAACCGGGGCUAAUACCGGAUGCUUGAUUGAACCGCAUGGUUCAAUCAUAAAAGGUGGCUUUUAGCUACCACUUGCAGAUGGACCCGCGGCGCAUUAGCUAGUUGGUGAGGUAACGGCUCACCAAGGCGACGAUGCGUAGCCGACCUGAGAGGGUGAUCGGCCACACUGGGACUGAGACACGGCCCAGACUCCUACGGGAGGCAGCAGUAGGGAAUCUUCCGCAAUGGACGAAAGUCUGACGGAGCAACGCCGCGUGAGUGAUGAAGGUUUUCGGAUCGUAAAACUCUGUUGUUAGGGAAGAACAAGUACCGUUCGAAUAGGGCGGUACCUUGACGGUACCUAACCAGAAAGCCACGGCUAACUACGUGCCAGCAGCCGCGGUAAUACGUAGGUGGCAAGCGUUGUCCGGAAUUAUUGGGCGUAAAGCGCGCGCAGGCGGUUUCUUAAGUCUGAUGUGAAAGCCCCCGGCUCAACCGGGGAGGGUCAUUGGAAACUGGGGAACUUGAGUGCAGAAGAGGAGAGUGGAAUUCCACGUGUAGCGGUGAAAUGCGUAGAGAUGUGGAGGAACACCAGUGGCGAAGGCGACUCUCUGGUCUGUAACUGACGCUGAGGCGCGAAAGCGUGGGGAGCGAACAGGAUUAGAUACCCUGGUAGUCCACGCCGUAAACGAUGAGU
rnacentral:rRNA from 1 species